GAUGAACGCUAGCGACAGGCUUAACACAUGCAAGUCGAGGGGCAGCACAGGUAGCAAUACCGGGUGGCGACCGGCGCACGGGUGAGUAACGCGUAUGCAACUUGCCUAUCAGAGGGGGAUAACCCGGCGAAAGUCGGACUAAUACCGCAUGAAGCAGGGAUCCCGCAUGGGAAUAUUUGCUAAAGAUUCAUCGCUGAUAGAUAGGCAUGCGUUCCAUUAGGCAGUUGGCGGGGUAACGGCCCACCAAACCGACGAUGGAUAGGGGUUCUGAGAGGAAGGUCCCCCACAUUGGUACUGAGACACGGACCAAACUCCUACGGGAGGCAGCAGUGAGGAAUAUUGGCCAAUGGGCGUAAGCCUGAACCAGCCAAGUCGCGUGAGGGAUGAAGGUUCUAUGGAUCGUAAACCUCUUUUAUAAGGGAAUAAAGUGCGGGACGUGUCCCGUUUUGUAUGUACCUUAUGAAUAAGGAUCGGCUAACUCCGUGCCAGCAGCCGCGGUAAUACGGAGGAUCCGAGCGUUAUCCGGAUUUAUUGGGUUUAAAGGGUGCGUAGGCGGCCUUUUAAGUCAGCGGUGAAAGUCUGUGGCUCAACCAUAGAAUUGCCGUUGAAACUGGGGGGCUUGAGUAUGUUUGAGGCAGGCGGAAUGCGUGGUGUAGCGGUGAAAUGCAUAGAUAUGACGCAGAACCCCGAUUGCGAAGGCAGCCUGCCAAGCCAUUACUGACGCUGAUGCACGAAAGCGUGGGGAUCAAACAGGAUUAGAUACCCUGGUAGUCCACGCAGUAAACGAUGAUCACUAGCUGUUUGCGAUACACUGUAAGCGGCACAGCGAAAGCGUUAAGUGAUCCACCUGGGGAGUACGCCGGCAACGGUGAAACUCAAAGGAAUUGACGGGGGCCCGCACAAGCGGAGGAACAUGUGGUUUAAUUCGAUGAUACGCGAGGAACCUUACCCGGGUUUGAACGCAUUCGGACCGAGGUGGAAACACCUUUUCUAGCAAUAGCCGUUUGCGAGGUGCUGCAUGGUUGUCGUCAGCUCGUGCCGUGAGGUGUCGGCUUAAGUGCCAUAACGAGCGCAACCCUUGCCACUAGUUACUAACAGGUAAAGCUGAGGACUCUGGUGGGACUGCCAGCGUAAGCUGCGAGGAAGGCGGGGAUGACGUCAAAUCAGCACGGCCCUUACAUCCGGGGCGACACACGUGUUACAAUGGCGUGGACAAAGGGAGGCCACCUGGCGACAGGGAGCGAAUCCCCAAACCACGUCUCAGUUCGGAUCGGAGUCUGCAACCCGACUCCGUGAAGCUGGAUUCGCUAGUAAUCGCGCAUCAGCCAUGGCGCGGUGAAUACGUUCCCGGGCCU
rnacentral:rRNA from 1 species